UACGGAGGGUGCAAGCGUUAAUCGGAAUUACUGGGCGUAAAGGGCGCGUAGGCGGCUUGGUAAGUCGGUGGUGAAAGUCAGCGGCUCAACCGCUGGACUGCCUUCGAGACUGCCUGGCUUGAGCAUGGUAGAGGCUGGCGGAAUUCCCGGUGUAGCGGCGGAAUGCGUAGAGAUCGGGAAGAACAUCGGUGGCGAAGGCGGCCAGCUGGGCCAUUGCUGACGCUGAGGUGCGAAAGCGUGGGGAGCAAACAGG
rnacentral:rRNA from 1 species